rnacentral:rRNA from 1 species
AUUGAACGCUGGCGGCGGGCCUAACACAUGCAAGUCGAGCGAGCGGCGGACGGGUGAGUAAUGUAUGGGGACUGCCCGAUAGAGGGGGAUAACUACUGGAAACGGUGGCUAAUACCGCAUACUAUCGGAUAACCCAUAUGGGCUUAGCUAGUAGGUGGGGUAAAGGCUCACCUAGGCGACGAUCUCUAGCUGGUCUGAGAGGAGGAUCAGCGGAACUGGCACUGGGACACGGCCCAUAGUCCUUCGGAGGCAGCACUGGGGAAUAGUGCGCAAUGGGGGCAAGCAUGAUGCAGCCAGGCCGCGUGUAUGAAGAAGGCCUUUGGGUUGUAAGGAACUUUCAGCGGGGAGGCGUUAGCCGCAGAAGAAGCACCGGCUAACUCCGUGCCAGCAGCCGCGAUAAUUC